rnacentral:misc_RNA from 1 species
AACUCGUAAGAAGGUUUCCGUAGGUGAACUAUAGAACUACCGCUCGAUUGUAACUGUUCCAAUGUUCGCACGUAGCCAGAGGUCUCUGCAUCACUACAACUUUCCGGGCUAUGAUUUAUCAGAGAUUGCGAACUACGCGGGUUACAAGAGCAGGAUGAAGGUUCACGGGGGGAGUUUUAACGUUUGGAUACGUGUUAAUAAUCCUUCCGCAGGGCAAUGUUUCCCCAAGCAGUCAGUGUCGGAAAGUGUCAUUGAUUGUGCAAGGAUAGCGCUUCUACGAUUCCUGUAGGCCGUACACUCGGGCAGGAGCUUUGCCAAAGGGUCCCCAUGCCCCCUAAUAACCCCACAGUUUAAUGUGAAGCUCAAUGUAAUACAUUGGGUAAAAAAACCGAACAACUGUUAACAAUGGAUAUCUUGGUUCUC